AAGACUAUAGACCUGCGGAGUACCUGCGGAGGGAUCAUUAUUGAAAAUCCUUUUGGAUGUUGCUGGCCUUUCGGGGUAUUGUGCACUCCAUACUAUUCUCUUUACACACCUGUGAACUUGAUGUAGGUUGGCAGAUUGUAACAAGUCUGUUAUGCCUAUGUUUUUAUAACACUCUUUUAAAAGUAUUAUGGGAUGUUAUUAUUUGAAUAAAUAUAAUACAACUUUUAACAAUGGAUCUCU
rnacentral:misc_RNA from 1 species